UGUAUUCUCAUCAUAUCUGUGCUGAUGCUCUUUCAAGAACCUGUGCAAGUGGAGUACCCUGCAUGUUGGCAAGUGAGGGAGGAUUACCAUAUUAAAUUACCUUUGGAUGCAUUAUUCACUAGAUGGUCAAGAAAACAGUUCAGGGAAAAUUACUAAAAAGACUCCUCAGUCACUUAUGACCCCGGAUGCUGCCCGCUUCAAAUGUAUGAAGGAGAACAAAAUACUUGGUAAAAAAACAGCAUAUAUUUAUG